rnacentral:rRNA from 1 species
UAGUCAUAUGCUUGUCUCAAAGAUUAAGCCAUGCAUGUCUAAGUAUAAACGCCUUUAUACUGUGAAACUGCGAAUGGCUCAUUAAAUCAGUUAUAGUUUAUUUGAUAGUACCUCUUUACUACAUGGAUACCCGUGGUAAUUCUAGAGCUAAUACAUGCGAAAAAUCCCGACUUUUGUGGAAGGGAUGUAUUUAUUAGAUAAAAAACCAACUUCCUCCCCGCAAGGGGGGGAAACCCCCAUUCUUUGGUGAUUCAUAAUAACUUGUCGAAUCGUAUGG